rnacentral:rRNA from 1 species
UACGUAGGGGGCAAGCGUUGUCCGGAUUUACUGGGCGUAAAGAGCGUGUAGGCGGCCAAGCAGGUCCGUUGUGAAAACUGGAGGCUUAACCUCCAGACGUCGACGGAAACCGCGUGGCUAGAGUCCGGAAGAGGAGAGCGGAAUUCCUGGUGUAGCGGUGAAAUGCGCAGAUAUCAGGAAGAACACCAAUGGCGAAGGCAGCUCUCUGGGACGGUACUGACGCUGAGACGCGAAAGCGUGGGGAGCGAACAGG